rnacentral:snoRNA from 1 species
CUCUCGUGAUGAGACAAAUUUUUUUCAGUUCUGCUUCUGCAAACACCUUGAAGAAAAACAAAUACCUUACCAAACCUUCUGAUUC